UAUGUGGCUCAGACUUGCUUUAACCUGUGCUCCUUUUCUGGCUUGUUCCUCAUUGUCGUGCCUUGCAGGUCUCAUGACUCAGGGCGUUAUUUGAGUUAGAUGGAUGUCACAACACAGACCGUCACGCAGUCCCAGCUUCCAGUUUCGUUGUGCUCCAGGCUUCCUCUGAAGGCAGAGCAUGAGUCUGUGCUGUGACAUUUGAAGCCCACAGUCCCAGGAAAGCAGGAGGGAGGGUGGGAGCUCCUACAACUGUGCCUUACAGAGCUGACCACUGCGUGGCGGGGAGCUUGUUCUCAGUGACGUCAGCAUCUCCAUAUUCCCGGCUUGCACAUGCAGAGUGCUAGCAAGUCCCUCGUCUCUCACAGAACUGCUUGAAGCCCGUCGGCACUGGGGCUCGGACCAGCAAGGUGGCUGUGUCUGAGGCAGCCCAGAAGGCCCACCCCUGCGCAGCUCUCCAACUGCAGAAAAGCAGUGGAAAUAGUUAACAAGGAUAAGACCGUGUGGAGUGGAGGGGAGAAGAGAAGAGGAUAAAGACAGCAAGAGAACAAAUAGAGAGGCAGGACAUCAGG